AAUCAAACCAAGGGGAGUGCAUUGUACAUUCAGAGUGCUACAGCUGAGAAGGACCUUUCCCAGUCUCCAUUUGGGCUAUUGCUUCCUAUGGUGAACUUCUUUGUGGCAGGUGCAGUUCUGUUUUCUUACAUGUUAAUUUUUUCCUGUUUUAUUAUCCUGUCCAUCACCAGCAAGCAGGACCCUGGCACCAACUAAAGGGACAUUUCUCCUAGCUGAAGCGACACCUAUUUGCCUUCCAUGGGAAGGAUGUGACACUCUUCUGGCCAUGGAGAACGUCCCAGUGGUACAAACAGUGCACAGCUCAGCGCAUGCAGCUUGAAGCCCGAGACAAGCGCAAUUUUUCCUGAAGCCACAGAAUUGCAGUUUCAGAGAAAUUUCAUUCCAAUCAAACAAAGGGUCAAGCCACAACCUCUGUUAAACACUUAGGCCUGAAUCCUACUGGCAGACCUAACUUGUGUUGACCCAAUAGAUCAGUUGUUAAAAGGCUUUGUUCAGAGGAGGUUUGCGAUUGCCAUCCCAUGAAGCUGAGGACAUGUGGCUUUGCCCAAGCUCAUCCAAUGGGUUUCGUGGCCAAGAUGGGAAUUGAACCCUGGUCUCCAGAAUUGGCUGUUGUGAGAACCUGCAGUGUUGGAGUAGUGGAUGAGCAGGCAUGAAGGAUGGACCUCCAAUCCCAGGCUGUUUUGGGAUAUUGCUAAGACAGACACAGAGAGAAGAAAUCACAGCAAUGAACCAACAUAUUUGCCCUGACUGGAUGAGCUCAUGAGCAUCAUCAGCUACUCCAGAGCAUGUGCCAACUGUAUCACUAAAUAAGUAAGUAUAGGCAACCGAAAAGACUGAGGCCACACUCCAAUGCCACACUCAUCCCAAGGCUUCAAGGCUGUCAUCAAACUGCCCUGCCAACUCUGCCACAAUUCCUGUGGAGCAUGGAAAAGGGCCCUGGCUCCUUUGGAAGUCCGCUGGUUUAAAGAGAGGGAGCUACUGAACGUGAAAUGUGCCUGUCUGACAACUGUAGUUUGGUGAGGUGCUAGGCCUCUCUGACAGACCAGCCUGAGUACCUUGCUAAACUAUAAAUCCCAGGAUUCUUUAGGAUGGGGCCAUGACAGUUAAGGUGGUGUCAAACUGCUUUAUGUCUGCAGUGUGAAAGAGCUUUCAAAAAGGUAGACUGAACUUUGAAAAAAAUUACUUUGGGGGCCACAACUCCAGCAAGCAGGCCAUUCUGGGAGUUGUAGUCUACAAAAGUAACAUUUGCAAACUCUGAAGAUAAGUCAGUGCUGCAUUUAUUCCCUCCAAUCACAAAAAUUCCCUACCCUCCAGUCUUGCCUUUUAAAAAAAAAGCAUCAGAGCACAGAAGAAUGUGGAGGGGUUGAAAGCCUCUUGAGAGCAGGUAGCGCCAUCUGUGCAAGGGCUCUACCUCCUCCAAGGCAGCAGGGGGGAGGGGGAGGGCAUGGAAGAUCAGUUUACAUAAGUGCUUUACCAUAUGAACAAAUAAUUUAGUGGUAUUAAUAGAGGUUAAAGUUUCCCAGGAAUCCAAAACAGGCCCCUCAGGCACAGGUGGGUUGUUUCACUCACAGGGCGGGAGGGAGUAACAUGACACCAGCAAGAGGAGAUGACAGGAGGCAGAAACCCAGCCAGAAUUUACACUGUGCAAAUAGGGUGUGGUGGGUCUUUGCCUGCAUCCCAGCUGAUUUAUUAGGAGGCCUUCAAACAAAGGCUUUGGUGGGGAUUGUGCCAUCCAAUGUGCUGCAUCCUCAGCCUCCCAUCACCAGCAAAAUGCAAGGCAUUUGCAAUACAAAGUGCGGAGACAAGAUGCCAGUUAGGUUUGGAGAAGAAAGAUCAUUUAGGAAGCAUUGGGUGGGGGUUAUGUGUAAAGAAAGAAGACAAAUGCAAGAACAGAUGAAGUACUGCAUAGCCUGAGUGCAUGAGGAGAACACAUAUGUGCUCCGAGUUGAUAGAUCUGGUGAUUAUUUAUUUAUUUAUUUAUUUAUUGACAGGCCCAACACCAUCGGGCCCGGCCUCGAUUAAGGAAAAGAGCCCUCCCUUCAGUCCAUCUGCCUUGGUCCAGGCCUCAGAGGGAGAGA